rnacentral:lncRNA from 1 species
UUUAACGGUCGAAUCAUCGCAUGCUAAAUUGAUCAUGAUAAUGAUGUCCGAUUAAAAUAAAAUUUUGAUGAUGUGCUAUAAAUAUCAUUGAGAUUAUUAUUAUAAAUUUUUGGAUCCAUCGAUGGUCUCUAUCUAUUAAAUUAUUAUAAGAUCGUUCGUGACCGUCGAAAUCAAAAUUUAUUGAUCGACAUAGCUAGGGCUAUC